UUGGAUUUUGGAUUCAAAUAACCUAUGUGACUCAUUUCAGAAGAAAGCAGUAUUUGAGGAAGCUCGCCUCGUGAAACAAACUUUUGAAAACUGUCAUUGAAUGGAAAUAAAAUAAAAAGCCUUUCCUGCGGCGGUAGUGACGCGGUGACCUUUAUAGUGAUUCCACAGAACUCAGACAUAAAAGCUACUGUGUGCUUCCAAAGAAGGACGCCGGAUACUUCAUUUGGGAAUCUGACUGAAAUUAAGCGAUAACUCCCUUGCAGUCUAGUAGGAUCUGCAGAACUUUGACACAAGAUUCUAGGUGCAGUAGAACCCUGCAACUUCAUUACAGGUACCAAUGUUGGACCAUGGCCCAACGUAUAACCUUGUGUGAGCGGGCUCAGCUUGCAUCUCAGUACGAAGUAUGACAGUCCGUGGUCAAGUACAGAGAUGGUAGUUAAGUGUAAAAGGACUUAAUGUCUAGUUCGAUCCAAAAAUCAUAAGAAAUUGUCAUGCGAAGCUAAUAACGUAGGUUCUGUAGCAAGUAUAAGGAGAAGCGGUUGCUCUUCAGCAUCUAGGAAGGAGGAAAACGUGCUAGAGGUUCAGGAAAUAUUCACUCGAAAUCUUCAGAAAUCACGAAGACAGGCAUCUCGCGAAAGUGGUUUAACCCAUCACAUAAUCCGAACUGUUCUGAAGGAAGAGUUGAAUUCUCGUCCAUGGAAAUCCUAUUACUGCCAGUAAUUAUCGCCUGAAGUCUGUGAUUAUCGCUUGGAGUAUGGGGAGAUGGUGUUUGUUUGGUAGGAAGACUAAUCCGAUCUCUUCAGUAAUAUCCUUUGGUCAGACGAAGCCUUGUUCCAUGUUGGGGGUUUGUUAACCAGCACAGUUGUUAUCACUAGGCAGGAGAGGAUCCUAGGAAGGUUGUUGAAAAAAGCCAACAUCGCCCAGAGGUCACAGAGUGGUGUAUCACGACCUCUACGAAAGUUGUGGGUCCAUCCGUUAUUCGAGACACAAUGAAUACACAACGGUACCUUGCUGUGCUUGAAGACUAUGUUCACAAUAUUGUAUCACAUGGAACAAUUACAAUAACCUAAUCUAAUCUAAUUUAAACAAAACUAAUCUUUUUGUAUGGUAUCUCUGCAAAAAAUACUCUUCUUAACGAAUUAUUUACAGAGCUUUGAUUAAUGAAAAUUCUUAUUCACAUUAACAUAUUGAAACUGAUCUUAAAACAUUGGCCAUAGCUUACAUAAAUUAUUAAAAAUGUCAAAAUAUCUUAUAUUUGGGUCUAAGUACAACUCAAUCAACUGUAAAUAAAUACAAAAUUUUUAUACGGGAUUAUAAUUACCCUAAUUAUGAAAUUACUUCCAUGUAUGAUGUAAAGAAAAUUGUUCUCGUAAUUAAUAUAAAUUAAGUUGUAACAUAAAUGUUCAUUUUGUUUUAUAUGAAAACUAUCAUGUUGUGAGGUUUAUAUUAUUUUUAUUCAUAGUUACUUUAAUUUGUUAGCUUUCUUUAUCAUCUCUUGCUUAUCUCGCGUUUACUCGCCAGAAUGUAAAUGAGGUAGUGUGAAAGAGAGUGUAUUUAAUCUGAAGUAGCGAAAAGGUUAGGCAUAGAGUGUUUCGCUAUUAACUGCGCACGUUGUUUUUUUCUACCAGCUGUUUGAAUUCUGAAUCUCAGCAUCGCAUUCUUGCCGCCGAAGUUUAAUAUCUCGUCGAUGUAGGUUUCCGAGUCAACCUGCUAGGUUAAAUCAAUUUGCGUAGUCCUGAACUACUAGUUUAUCUUUAAAUUUAGUUUAAUUUACCGUCAUCUUUAGUUUUAUCGCCAUAAGUAAAUAGUGGAUUUGUAAGCACAAAGACUGUGCCAUUUCUAAAUAACUGAGUUCAAUAAAAGGGUCUUUCACACCCUGCCCCUAUUGUAUUCAUGUUCUAAUCUUAGCGAUAAGUCGCUAACAGACUUCCAAGUAGGUCUAAUAACAGUUUAUGCUAGUCAAGAAUACUUGGCGUUACAAUAUUCUUAUGUAAAAUCUCUGAUACCUCCUUUGUGUCGAGAAGCCGUUUUUGUAAUGAGUACCAACCGAAGAUAUAUUUUGCUUAGCUUAAGAAAUGCUGUAAGAGUUCAGUAUGAAAUAAAGUAAUGUCAAUUUGAAG